rnacentral:lncRNA from 1 species
GCCCGACUGGUCAGGUUAUAUUCCACCUAACCCUAUCUCCAUUAGAACACGCCCACUAGCCCGACUGGUCAGCACGCAGCACACACACUAGGAGGUCCUGGGUUCAAUUCCCAGGCUCCCCAAUUUUUGUUUUUAUGCAUUUAAAAUGUUGUUUGAUAUUUAUUUGUGUUUAAAUAUGUUCAAACUUGUUUAAAUCAUAACAGUAAUAUUUUUUUAUAAAAACAGUAAUGAUUUUUUAAAAAAUAUCAUCAAAUUUGUUAUUUGAAAAUAUAAUCAAAUUUUCUUUUUUUUUGCAAUUUUAGUUGCAUUCAUUUNNNNNNNNNNNNNNNNNNNNNNNNNNNNNNNNNNNNNNNNNNNNNNNNNNNNNNNNNNNNNNNNNNNNNNNNNNNNNNNNNNNNNNNNNNNNNNNNNNNNNNNNNNNNNNNNNNNNNNNNNNNNNNNNNNNNNNNNNNNNNNNNNNNNNNNNNNNNNNNNNNNNNNNNNNNNNNNNNNNNNNNNNNNNNNNNNNNNNNNNNNNNNNNNNNNNNNNNNNNNNNNNNNNNNNNNNNNNNNNNNNNNNNNNNNNNNNNNNNNNNNNNNNNNNNNNNNNNNNNNNNNNNNNNNNNNNNNNNNNNNNNNNNNNNNNNNNNNNNNNNNNNNNNNNNNNNNNNNNNNNNNNNNNNNNNNNNNNNNNNNNNNNNNNNNNNNNNNNNNNNNNNNNNNNNNNNNNNNNNNNNNNNNNNNNNNNNNNNNNNNNNNNNNNNNNNNNNNNNNNNNNNNNNNNNNNNNNNNNNNNNNNNNNNNNNNNNNNNNNNNNNNNNNNNNNNNNNNNNNNNNNNNNNNNNNNNNNNNNNNNNNNNNNNNNNNNNNNNNNNNNNNNNNNNNNNNNNNNNNNNNNNNNNNNNNNNNNNNNNNNNNNNNNNNNNNNNNNNNNNNNNNNNNNNNNNNNNNNNNNNNNNNNNNNNNNNNNNNNNNNNNNNNNNNNNNNNNNNNNNNNNNNNNNNNNNNNNNNNNNNNNNNNNNNNNNNNNNNNNNNNNNNNACUUCAUAGUCAUCUUCAUCACCUUGCCACCGAUAGCCAUCCAUGAAACCACGCAAGAGCAGGUGGUCCCGCACCUGCCCGGAAUCCGGGUCCGCAAUAAGGCUCUUCAGCUUGCAUCUUCGACACGGACAUCUUAUCUCCGUCUCGUUCUUUUCAAGCAUCUCGGCCUUCGCGGAGCUCAAAAACCUAUUCACGAUGCCUUCGGUCAUCGUGCGGACCAUGGUCGCCUGCGGGGUAGAGCAAAACGAUAUUUUAGAACCAAGAAAAAAUUUGGCAUGACUUUCCCUAAAAAUAGGACCAAAAAGAAUGCAUAGUGCCAAAAUUCUCGCCGAAACGGAAAUGAAUCAACAUUCCGGCAAAAUAUUGGCAACUAUCACAUUUCAAAUACCGGUACCUGCAAACACAAACAUAUAUGCAACACCACAAACAUAUGCAACACCACAAACAUACAUAGAUCUAGCUAGGACAUAAAAAGUGCAUGUGCACGUUGUUGGAGGGAGAACAACAUAAAGAUAGCUUCCCCCUUACUUACCUAUCAAAAAAAGGGGGUUUAACCACGUAAUUUGGAUGAAUUUAUGGUGCAAAUGAGGUGAGGAGGAGGAGGUAGCCGAGACAAGCUUGGAGGAGGGAGGAGAGAGAAUGAAGUGGGGAAAGUGAGUGGGUAGGUGUGGCUGUCCAAAAUAUCUAGCUCGUCCCAGGUUACUAAUGGCGCACCACCACCUAAUGUGCCAUUAGUAACCCUGGUUACUAAUGGCGCACCUGCUGGUGGUGCGCCAUUAGUAGUUUUGCAAAAAAAUACACUAAUGGCGCACCAGGGAGCAGUGCGCCAUUACUAGCUUAAACUAGUAAUGGCGCACUGCCCCAGGUGCGCCAUUAGUAGUUUUGCAAAAAAGUAAAAAAUAAAAAAAAAUUGUAGUGGCGCACUAUGUGGCUGGUGCGCCAUUACUAGUUAGAACUAGUAAUGGCGCACUGUGCCCUGGUGCGCCAUUAGUAUGUCUGGCAAAAUAAAAAAAUUGUCACUAAUGGCGCACCGUGUGUCUGGUGCGCCAUUAGUGUAUUUCACACUAAUGGCGCACCAGCACGUGGUGCGCCACUGCUACAUAGCAAUGGCGCACCACAUGUCUGGUGCGACAUUAGUGGCCAUUCCAUCUAUAGCCCUUUUCCUAGUAGUGCAUGUGUGUAGCAAAACCGGCUUGUGUUUUGGAGCUUGCUACCAAAGUUCAUCUCCCGAGAAUCUCGCAAUGCCAUCCCAUCGGUUUGUGUUGCAAAACUUCCUUUUUCCGGACAUGCUGUCUGAAAUAUCCUGUUACCAGCCAGAUCUGAAUCUCAGGCAGAUAUGAUGGUUGGAGCGCCUCCCAAGAACUAUAAUAUUGGUCUCUGUAACCCGGUAAGUGGAUGUCCUGGCCAACACACCCAGCCGGAAGACCUAUUAUUGUAGUAUCCUGAUUGAUAAAGUUGGCCACCUCCCCAUAAGGAUUCCGUAGUAUUUACUUCCGUAGUUAUUCCUUAUGGAUUCUUGUGUUCCCGAAGUCCGACCUUUUACUUGAUGUUCUAGAUAUCAAACCAUAUCAAAUGGGUUACGCUAGUACAUCAAGGAGAACAUUAGAAGUGGAGUGCUAAAUGUCUCUCGGUCGAUCAUCCAGAUUUUGUUUCCUUGGCCUCGCUAGGGUGAAAUCUGAGUAGAUGUUAUCUUCCUUUGCAUCUGCAUUGUCCAUCACUAUUCAUCAUGGUAGUAUGUUGGGUUGCCAGGAUCCUUGACACGGAUGUUGGUAGAACCUUGAUGAAUAUGGAAUUGCUCAAGUUCUUGAGUGCACGCGCAAGCAAAAUCAUCCCUUGCGUUGUCUUCAACAAGGUAGUCCACAUCGUCCAUUCUAGCCCGAGUGAGUCAUUCUCCCGAACUCCGUCAAACGAUCGAUUUGUAAAUUGCCUCAGGCUGGUGAGAAGAGUUCCAGUGAUCUUUGUAUGAAAAGUAAUUCUUUUGGCCACUUAAGGGAAUAAUUCUACGAGUCACCUUUCCUAAGGUGCCCCGUUACGGAGUCAUGGCAAUCAAUCUCCUCGCUACUUUGAAACCAUGCGCCAUCCUAUUCUAGCAUGGAAUUGUUGCCUACCAAAUUGAACUUUCGCCAUCUGUUUCUUCCAUCCCUCUCGAUGGGUGUUUUGUGUCUCAGUUCGAGAGAUGUUACUACAUCUCAUUCCGUGAGUUAAUCAUGAUUUGCUUGACCUUCGUGAAGAUCGAAUCCUGUAGAGCUUCCCUCUCUUUCCCUUGUCGUGUUGGGUGAAGAUCUCGAAAGCAAAGAUGUCAAGAUCAACAUGAUGCAAUGAAUCAACAUCUUCGAGAAGAGCAAUUGGAUCGAGAAGAUGGUGUUAGCUUUGUGUCCCCCCUGUCUUCUUACCUCACGUCUUGAAUCUCGGGACGAGAUUUUUGUUUAGUGGGGGUGGGUUGUCACAGCCCUAGAUUCAUGGCUGUAAAUAGUUGCAUCAGUGGGCAUGCAUCAUGUUUAAAUUCAAAGGAAAUUUGAAUUGGGGAUGACCAAGCCCUGGCACUAAAUCAAUUCAACUAGGUUCAAGUUUAAAUCUUUUCAAUGAACCCAGAAUGCCCUUUAGAAAAGUUCAUGAUUUUUGAUAAAGGUGAAAACCUCUGCCAAAAAUGAUGCACAUAUUUUUAGGCCAUUAUGGUUAUUUGAAUUAACCCAUAUUGUAUUUGAAUUGGGGCAUUUAAAUACUAUAAAUAUUUUAAAUGCUCCAACAUUUUGGAAUUAGUUGAGGGCCUCUGGAAUAAUUCAUUUAGUGCCCACAACUAUUUUUCAGAAAUUUUAAAAGCAAUUUGGUUUGAAAAACCAAAUUAAAACAAAAUUGCAUAAAUAGAAAACAGAACAAAACUAGAAAAGACAGAGCAGAGAAAGCACUUACCUGGCGCUUACCUGGCCUGGCCCAGCACGGCCCAGCCCACUGGCCUGGUGCCAGUCAUCGCCUACCUUUGCCAGUAGGCAGAGGAGGGACACCGCGACGCCGCCGAGCUCGCCACGCCUCCUCCUGCUUGCCGCCGACCGCCUGGAGCUGGCUGGACACGCCACGCACCCCCCAGGNNNNNNNNNNNNNNNNNNNNNNNNNNNNNNNNNNNNNNNNNNNNNNNNNNNNNNNNNNNNNNNNNNNNNNNNNNNNNNNNNNNNNNNNNNNNNNNNNNNNNNNNNNNNNNNNNNNNNNNNNNNNNNNNNNNNNNNNNNNNNNNNNNNNNNNNNNNNNNNNNNNNNNNNNNNNNNNNNNNNNNNNNNNNNNNNNNNNNNNNNNNNNNNNNNNNNNNNNNNNNNNNNNNNNNNNNNNNNNNNNNNNNNNNNNNNNNNNNNNNNNNNNNNNNNNNNNNNNNNNNNNNNNNNNNNNNNNNNNNNNNNNNNNNNNNNNNNNNNNNNNNNNNNNNNNNNNNNNNNNNNNNNNNNNNNNNNNNNNNNNNNNNNNNNNNNNNNNNNNNNNNNNNNNNNNNNNNNNNNNNACGCCUCGCUGAUGCGCCCAUAAGCUCCGCCACUUCGUCCUCCACCCCCUCACCGAGCCACGCCCCGCCGGAAGCCCCCGAACGUCCUCACCGAGCUCGUCUCCAACCUCCCGACGAUGAGAUCGCCUCCGCCACCCCGACCGCUCCGGUUCUCCCCCGAGCUCGUGGUUCGCUUCUCUGCACUCGCCGUGAGCCACUGAUCCUCUCCCCCCUCACCGUUCUCGCUCUCGUGCACCGUAGCCACCGCACCUUGCUCGCCUGCACGGGCCGCCGCUUGUGCUCGUCGCCAACGUAUCUCCGGCCACCUAACGGUCCGGCCGUCGUGCUCAGCUCCCUCUCUGCGCCGCGUAGAGCACGUAGGUGCCCCGCACGGGCCACCCUGCCCACCGUAGCGUAGACCCCGAGCUCAUCCGAGCUCCGGCGACCGCCAAGGUCGACGCCGGUGAUGACUCCGGCCAUCCCAGGACCAACCGCUGCCACCACUCGACGUGGACGAGUGCCCGCGUCCCGCAGAUGCCCUUCGCCGGCCAUUUGGUCGCCGGAGGAGGAAUCCCGCAGCCCUCCGCCGUGUCUGGCCUCGCCGGUGUCACGUCGCCGGUGGGUUUAACCCCACUGACCCGGGGUUUGACCCUGUUUGACUUUCCCUGGGUCACUGACGUGUGGCCCAGGCCACUAACUAAACUAUAUUAGUGUUAGUUUAACGCUAACUAAAUUUAGUUAGUUUAAUUAACCCUGACAGACGGGACCCAUAGGUCAGGGUUGACCUGAACCGUCUCUGUUGACUGCUGACGUCACCCUGACGCAACGCUGACGCAAUAACUUAUUUACUGGUUUAUUCUUAUAUAGGAAAUUCUAGAAAAUGUUGCAAACUUCAAAAAUUCAUAGAAAUUAAUCUGUAACUCAGAAUGAAAUAAGUUAUAUAUGAAAAAUGCUCAGAAAAAUCCAAUCUAUCCAUCUGUACUGGUUUCAUGCAUGUUUAAACAAGUUAACUUGUUGUUUAGUGCAAAACAUGAUAAAGCACUAUUUAAGAUCACAAAUGAGUUUGAACUUCGAAUCUUUGGUUCAAAAUAGCUCAAACCCAUCUGGUUGUAGUUGCAUUAGCCCAACGCACUCAUAUUGCCAAGUCAUGAUCAUGCAUCAUAUUGUGCAUUGCAUUGAUUGUGUUUCCUCUCUAUUGCCGGUGGUUGUUCCCUCUCGAUAGACAUAUUCCGACGAUGAGUUCGAUGACACCGAUGAAGAGCUAUACUAUCUUCAGAAGUGCCAGGCAAGCAAAACCCCCUUGUUCAUUCCGAUACAAUCCCACUCUCUCGCUCCUGCUCUCUUUUACCGCAUUAGGACAACAACGUUUCAACUGUUACAUGCUGCGGUAGUUGAACCCCUUUCCUCUGCAUGACCUGUCAUUGCCACAGUAAAUAGAUGAAACCCACUAGCAUGAGUAGGAGUUGUUUGAGCCCUGAUGUGCCUACUCAUUCAUGCUUGUUUGUCAUGCCUGCUACUGCUUAAAGUUGAGUAAGGUCUGAUUCAUUGGGGGUGAAUUGGAAUGUGGUGAACAUGUCCUACUGUUGAGAGCUAAGUGUGUGAACACGAUUAGGUAAAGGUAGCGGUGAGAGGCCAUGUAGGAGUACAUGGUGGGUUGUCUCAUUGAAACCAUCCUCAGGAACUGAGUUCUAUGUUUGUGAUCAUGAACAGUUACUACCACACAUUGGGUUCCGGUAACUUGACCCCUCUCGACUUAUUAAUCAACUUGAUCUCUGUCCAGGAGUUGCAACUAGUUUCUGGUGUUUGUAGGUAGUGUUAGUAGUCUACCAAGUAGCACCCGGUACAGGUGGGCUUGGGACAGACUAGGCACCGUGGCCGGGUAUGCCAAGCGCCGCCCGUUUGGUGGGCUUGGAACCCUGUACACAUCGUUUGGGGCCGUGAGCGACACCCCGGCUGGAUCUCCUUGCGGAUGGAACCCGAAUAGGCGAUAAACCUGGACGAGAGACUUGUGUGGUUAGUCAGGUCGUGGCCGACUCCCUCGCCAGGCUUCCGCUUGAAGGUUGCCGAGAUACACGACGUGUACAUGGUGGUAAGUGGCGAGAGCGUGUGUGAAGAAGUACACCCCUGCAGGGUUAACAUCAUCUAUUCGAAUAGCCGUGUCCGCGGUAAAGGACUUCUGGGUUGCCUGUACAGUUCAUAGACAAGUGAAAGUGGAUACUCUAAAAUGCGCAAGAUAAGCGUGAGUGCUAUGGAUGGCGUUCUCGUAGGGAGACGGGAGCGGAUCCAUAGUGGUGUAUUUAUAUGGUGAAUAUGUGGACUCGUGUGCGCCACCUCAACAGAGUCACUUGCAGUUGUAGUUCAGGUUAGCCACCAAGUCAAAGCUGGCUUGCUGCAGUUAAACUCCACCACCCCUUUGUUGAUACCGAUGCAUAUGUAGAUAGUUCUGAUGUAAGUCUUGCUGGGUACAUUUGUACUCACGUUUGCUUAUUUUAUGUUUUGCAGAGAGACUUCAGUCUCGCUAGUAGUUCCAUGUGGACUUCGACGUUUAGCUUGUUACCUCAGCUACGAUCUUGUACCCUUGGGAGGGUCUGGUAGAUAGUCAGGCUUCUCAGCCUUUUUCAUUUGUAGAUGUCUGUACUCAGACAUGUUAAGCUUCCGCAUGUGCUUUGACUUGUAUGCUCUGAAUGUUGGGUCAUGAGACCCAUGUUUGUAAUAUCUCGCUCCUCGGAGCCUAAUGAAUAAAUACUCUGAGUCGUAGAGUCUUGUUGUGAUGCCAUGUUGUAUUUGCACAUAUCGAGCAUAUUGUGUGUAUGAUUGAAAUGCUUGGUAUGUGUGGGAUCCGACAACCUAGUUGUUUAUCCUUGGUAGCCUCUCUUAUGGGGAAAUGUAGUCUUGUGCUUCCAUGAGCCAUAGUAGUCCGCUACAACCCGGUUCACCAGAGUCCUGCUAGCCCAGCACUACUGCUCCGGAACACUUGACUGGCCGGCAUGUGAUUCACUUCUUUCCUGUGUCUGUCCCUUCGGGGAAAUGUCACUCGGUGACAUCCGGAGUCCUGCCUAGCCUGUUAUAGCCCGGUUCACCGGAGUUCUGUUAGCCCAGUGCUACAGCCCGGAUUCGCACGCUGCUGACCGACAUGCUCGAUGUUGAUUCAUGUAUGCUUGUCCCCGUAAGUUAGUGCCACUUUGGGUUCACGACUAGUCAUGUCGGCCCGGGUUCUCUGUCAUAUGGAUGCUAGCGACACUAUCAUAUACGUGAGCCAAAAGACGGAAACGGUCCCGGGCCAUGGUAAGGCGACACCCAUGGGAAUACCGUGCGUGAGGCCGCAAAGUGAUAUGAGGUGUUACCGGCUAGAUCGAUGUGACUUGGAAUCGGGGUCCUGACACUAGGAGUGGCGCGACCGUCCUCGCGAGGACCGCUGGCAGGAUCAUCCUCGCGAGGGCGCCUGGAGAGACCAGCCUCAUGAGGACCGUCCUCAGGGCAACGCCGGUCUUCCCCACUGCCGCCACUGCCAAGGAGGAAUGACGACCACCACCAAGACGAGGGGGCUGGGGGCUUCCAGGAGCCGCGUGCAAUCGCCUGCAUCUUGGGCAGAGCUCAGGCCCCAGCCUCGCAGCGCAUCUUCAAACAGUUUGCUCGUGAAGUGAACGCAGUCCUCCCCAAGCUCGAGGCCACGCGCCCGCUCAAGUGGUCCCAGUGCGCCAUCACCUUCAACUCGGCAGACCAGCUCAAGUGCGUAGCCACCGCUGGUGCCCUCCCAAUGCUCUAUUCACCAGUCAUCAGCAACAUGCAAGUUACCAAGACCCUCAACGACGGCGGGGCAGGGCUCAAUGUCCUGUCCGUCAACACAUUCGACAACCUCCAAGUGCCAUACGAGCAGCUUCAGCCUACCAAGCCUUUCUCAGGAGUGACCGACGGUUCCACCACACCGAUUGGGCAGGUCCGCCUCCCUGUCACCUUCGGGGAACGUAAGAACUACCGCACCGAGCUCAUCGACUUCGACGUCGCCCACAUCUGCCUGCCGUACAACGCCAUCCUCAGGUAUCCAGCCCUAGCCAAGUUCAUGGCCGUCACCCACCACGGCUACAACGUCCUCAAGAUGUCGGGAAGCGGUGGGAUCAUCACGGUCCCAUGCGAAGAAAGAGAUGCGGUGUGCUCCCUCGAGCGCGCCUUCCAAGCUGCGGCAAUCGACGACCCCGAUAGCAGAAGUGAGGGCCCUCCGGAGGCCAUCCCCAAGAAGAAGCAGAUGCGCCGUGUCGGGCCUCAGGAGGGUGGCAUAGCAGCUGGAACCUCGUCAGGAUCAGCGCCCGCUCCAGGGGCGCCUCCCUCCGUCGCAUAGGAAGGCGCGCCCGGCGCCCUCAUCGGGCAGGGCUCGGGGGCUUUCUUCUGGAAGGCCUCGGACCUUGCCCACAUCAUGAGGGAGGCGCUUGGGCACCACUUGGAGGCAUGCUUCGCGGCACGUUUCCCUCAGGAGAUCACAGGAAAGGGAGCGCCCACCGCUCAGGAGUUCAUCACCAAGGCCACCCAGGAACUGCAAGACACAAGGACCAUGCGCGGCGACCGCCGCUCACGACGCACGGCCCUCAUCCAGGCGAGGAUGCCGGGCUGCACGUCUGCAUCGACGUCCCAGGGCUCAACAGGGCCGCACCUCAGUAGCUCUUCUGGCCUUCGCGCGUGGGACACUGCGAGGGUCCACCGCACAGCUACGUUCGCAUGCCCUUUGGCCUACCGAGCGUGUCGUCAGCCCAUCAGUGCAACAUGUGGCACAUCAUGGCGGCUCAGGAGGCCAGGCACCACGCCGUCCUGGCAGAGAUGGAGAUGGUCCUCAGGGAACCACUUGAGCCCCCAGAGCCUCCCGAGGCUCAGGGCCCCGGUGGCUCAUGAGGAGCCAUUCCUUCGUCGUGUUCCUUCAGCUGCACCAACUCUCCUUCGUCGACAGAACCAGGUGACAUUUUCCAAUUUCAUUUAGCUUGGAGCGCCCCUCGGGCUGCAUUAUUCCCGGGCAGCGUGGGUCCGCCCCCGUGGCGUGUAUCCUUUGCUUAUGUCUUUAGCUUACCUUGCUGGGGGCGCCCCUCGGGCUACAUCAUCCCCAAGCCGCUUGGGCUUGUGGCAUGUAUCUUUCCGCAUUUACUCAAGCUGGUUUGCCUUCCAUGCUUAAUCUGCUUGGUUACCACCUGCUCGAUCGUCACCCGCCAUGGGUCCAUCCAUCCCAUGCAAUUCGCUUGCGCGUUAAAAGAGGGGCUCCUGAGCAUCAUGACUCAGGAGCUCUUACUGGCUCUCCAGCCCUCACCCCCUGGCCUUGACCAUGGCAUCGUGACCUGGCAUACCAGCGGCGGCUGAGCUCGCUCGAGGGCCGGGACCUGAGGACGUAGAGUGCUUGCACCUAACCGUAUUGCAGGAACACACAGCCAUCAAGACUCAAGACCAGGCGCAACCCGCCUUGAGGUAGGGCCUCGUGAGUCCCGCGCUAGCUCACGAGUGCCCAGAUACACCUCGCAGCCCUGCCGUGCAAGCCACGUGUCAGGGCGGGGUUGUACACGCCCCGGGAGCUCCUCCCGGAGGGGGCCCCCUCCCAUGCACAAGUGGAAGCACCAUGCUCCGCGCAGGCCGUCGACACUGCCGAGGAGCGGCUAUGCCCGUGCACAAGCGGAAGCACUAUGCUCCGUGCUGGUGAUAAACAACUGAGGGCGGCUUCAUGGUCGUACCAACCUCAGGGAGCCCCAGAGCUCAGCGUCCAGCCUCACCACAACGCCUCCCCUCGGGAGAGGCGCGCGAGGGGGCUGGGCACGGGGGCUGCGCUCGGGUCACGCCCAAGCGCACGCCACCCAACCAGGUCUCCCGGACCUGGUCGUCGCACGCCCCUCCCGAGGCCUCGGCGAGGACAUGUAUGGAAGCUGUUUGCACGUCAAGGGGGACUCCUGAGCAUCGCGACUCAAGAGCCUAACUGGUUACGUAGCCCCUCACUCCUUGGUCCGUCCUGGUCUCCGGUCGUCCCAAUGGCAGUUGAGGUAUGCGCGGGGCCGGGCUCUGCCGACGUAGAACGUUAAUCUAUCCUCGCGAACUCUCCCUAUAAACUGUUUGCGCGUCAAGGGGGACUCCUGAGCAUCGCGAGUGAGGAGCCUAACUGGUCACGUAGCCCCUCACUCCUUGGUCCGUCCUGGUCUCCGGCCGGCCCAAUGGCGGUUGAGGUAUGCGCGGGGCCGGGCUCUGCCGACGCAGAACACAAGGCAAGUAGGAAGGAAUGCACAAAAUCUCGAAGCAAAUAGUACAAACAUAUUGUCCUCACAAUACCAAAUGAAAAGUCUAAACGCCUCCACGAGGCCUGAUGCAUGUUGCAGGAACGAAACAGGAAACUAGCCGCAGGUCACCCCUGAACACCGCCAUCACCGGCGGAAGGUGCUCCUCCGUGGGUGACGUCGCCUUCACCCGCACCACCAGCCGCAGGAUCGGUGGCAUCGCCGAACAAGGGUGCCGAGUCAAAGCCGCAAAACUUCUUCAGCAGGGCCUCCACCUGACCUUGCAUGGCUGCAGCGGCGGCUGCGCUAAGAUCAUCAGCCAUGGGCUCCAGCAGCUCGUCAAGACAAGAGUUGGGGUCGCGAAGGUACAGAUGGCUGAAGACGCGAGUCAAUGCAGCUGAAGACAGGACGCGAGCUUCUGCCUCCGCCAUGGGACCGACACCGUCAACGACUUCCUCGAGCGCCUUCACCAAGAGAGGAAGCAGCCGGGCGGGGCCAUCCUCAUCGGUGGCCAGCGACUUCUCCAGGCCGUGCUCGUAGAGCAUCUUCAUUGCCUUGCGAGAUCUCAUCUCGAGGUCGGCAAAGGCCGCGCGGUCCUCAGCCAGGACCCGCGCCUUGGCGUCAAGAUCGGCCUCCCUCGCCUUCACCUUCCUCUCCAGCUCUUCCAACCGGUUGCGCUCGGCGGCCUGCGUCUCCCCCAACUCCGCCAGCUCAGCGUCACGGUUCUUGAAGGCGUCCUCCCGGGCCUUCACCUCCUCCUCCUUCGCCAGGCGGCCGCGUGCUUCUUCGGCGUGCUUGUCGCGUAGGCUCUGCAACUCGCCCUCCAGCUCUUGGCAGCAGUCGCGGGCGGCCUUAGUGUCGUUCAGCGCCACCUCACAGUCGGCUAUAGCGUUGGCGGCACUCUGCCUCUCCUUCUUGGAAGAUGCUGCAGCCUGGCUCAAUGCCGGGCGGACCGCCAAGUCGGAGUGAAGCCAGCCAGAGGCCAGCUCCAGACGCCCGGCCACCAUGCGCGGGUCCGCGCUCAGGAGAUCUGCCUGCAACUGGGUCGUCUCCGAAAGAGCGCGUUCCAAAACAGCAGCAGGAGCAGAAGAACCUGGGAGUGGAGGUGCAACAGUGGGAGGAGGCAAUGUCGUCACCAAAGCCUGAGAGGCUGCAGGUUCCGGAGCAGUCGGGACCUCUCCAGCCAAGCCAGACACCGGCACCUCCAGAGCCAGUGGGGGCAUGGGGGCUGAUUCCACUCGGUGAUGCCCUUCUUGGCCUCGCGGGGGCGACCGGGUUGGGGAAGUGCGAGUGCUGCUGCUGCCUCCUUUCCCUACGAAGAGAGGCGCGGUCGUUGCAUCCUCCUUCCUUUUCUUUGUCGAAGGCACUGGCCUGAUCAACCAAGGGUGAACAUCAGGAAAUGACGAGUACAAGCAGGGACAAGACAAAGCUCAAGGCUCUUACCCAUCCACCGCGACGUAUUCCACCUUCCUCUUGGGAAGCUUGAAGCCUGACAACGUCGGGGCUUGAGAAGUGGGCGCGCGGGCCCUGGCGGAAGAAGGGCUGGAGCCGGCCUCAGGAGGCAUCAAGACAGAGGCAGCAUCCCGAGGAACCAACGACGACCUGCCCCUUGUCGGGAUGAGAGGUUGCUCCCUCUCCUCCUGGUGAGCGUUGGCCUCGGUGUCGUCAGGAAGGGCGCGGAGGAUCUCGGCCUUGCUCAAGGGAGGAGUCUCGCCCACCUCCUCCAGAGUCUUGUCCGAGUCCACCCCUUCUUCCUCCUCCCCACGGGACUCGUCAGAGGACACCUCCACCGGAUUCGGUGCUGCAGAAGGUCCUGCGAGCGCUGGCGGCACCAGCCGGCGCGCGUUGAAGGUCGGCCUGGAAACCACAAAUGGCUCCCAGUCCUCGCGCAGGAACAAAGGAGUGAAGACACUCGGCGGGUACACCUGGUUCUCCCCAACCAGGAGGCGCAGGACUGCGACCAGUUCGACACAAGGAAGGGGCCCCUGUCUCAGGCGGGUCUUGUCUUCAUCAUCACCGAGCUUCCACAAGGGACGUGCACGCGCCUGAAGCGGGGCGACGCGCAGCACCAGGAACUCCCUCAGGAGCAUGGCCCCUGUGACCUUCGCCGCCUUUGCGUUGCCAGGCUUCAGGUCCUCCUGCAUCUGCGCCAACACCGGCAAUGCCCGCUCGUCGGCAAGCUCUGCACGGAGCCACCCCUUGUUGGACUGGGGCGCCUCCGUCGGCGGUACCAGCCGCGGAUGGGCGUGCUUAGCAUCCAUCAUGACCCAUUUGGCCCAGAUGUUGUCGGCCCUCUUCCCGGUGCUCGAGAUUGAGUUGGCCUUGCCGGACGCGACGAAAUUGGUGCACCCGGAGACGUGCCCAUCACUGACGCGAAGGAGGUAGAAGUGGUGUAGGAGCGCCACGGAUGGCAUCACGCCCAGAUACGCCUCGCGGUAGUAGGCGAAGAUGGACAGGAGGAGGACAGAGUUGGGAUGGAGGUGAAGCGCCUGCAACCCGUAAUGGUUGAGGACCUCAUAAAAGAAAUCAGAGAAGGGAGGAACCAACCUGACGGCGAUGUUGCUCGAGAAAAAGGGGAAGAAGGUGCUCCCCUCAGGCUCCGGCAUGUCGGAGGCAAGCCGGAGUUCCGUCUUCCCCCAUUCAUUGCUCUCCCCCGCCGUCAGCAGGCGCAUGGAGGCGAGGCUCUUUUCUGUGACGGUGGGCGCCUCAAGAGCUGGCUCAUACCAAGCCGGCGCCGAGGAGGACUGGACCCUGCGCGGCUCCAUCUGUCGCGGGUGCGGAACUAGAUUGGAGCAGAUCUGGAGGUAUCGGUGGCAAGAAGCAAGAAAGGGGAUCUGGAACGAGGCGGGGAAGAAGCAAUGAAGUCAAGCGCUGUCCGCGCCAGCCUUUUGUCCAAUCGAGCAGUUGCCGAGGUAGCGUGGGCAAGCGGAGACGCCCACGUCCAAUCAACCGCCACGCAUCAACCGAGGCCGCAGGCUUUUGGAGCCCGCGGUGCUCCGUACUUGACCCUCGGCUUCGCCUCGAAGCCAAGCCCGAGCACGCCUUGGGCCGAGGGCUACUGUCGGCGUUCUGGGAAUGGGGGUCCCCAGACUUGCCUGCCUGCGGCCCACGGCAUGGCUAACCUAGCGGGCCGUAUGGCCCAUCUUCAUCAACAAGGCAAUCAAGACCUUCGCAAGGGGCCAAGCCUCGCGAGGCGGACGAUGCAAGACUUCCUCCAGAGUGGCCUAGCCAAGCAGGCUCGCGAGGAGCGGAGAUAUCAAGGCGGGGCAGACCUCACAAGGCCCUCGUGACGUGAGCCAUGACGACCGAUACCAGGCGGGCGCCAGGGUGCGCAGCGUCCUUGUUUCCUCUUUGAUGCUAAAGAGGCAGGCGCAGGCGCGGAGUACCGAGGCAUCAAGCAAAGGUUUCCAUAUAAGUGCAACGAGACCUAGACCAACAGGACGGCCAGGCGGAGGUCACCAUGGAGCCCAAGACGGCGUCAUCAUCAGAGCCUUUAGCAGGCGAAGACCACUUUUGUCAGGAUAGUUUGUACUAGCUGUCCCCUUUCAAAUUUGCCCGCCGUUGUUGGCUCCCUUCCCGCUCAAUAUUUGGGGAGAGGACCAGGGCCUAUAUAUAUAUGUAGAGCUAGCCACCACAGUAGAGGCAAUCUGAUCCAGAGGCAUCUCGCUCACACACCACAAGAACACCUCAACCUCAGGAGGCUGUUCUUCCCCUUGUACUGUUUAUCCCCAGCCCAAGAGGCAAUCCACCACCACACACUGGAGUAGGCUAUUACACCACAACGGUGGCCCGAACCAGUAUAAAUCUCGUGUCUUUUUGUGUUUUGAGUUCGUUGAGUUCGCCCGCGAGAUCUUAGUGAGCUAGGGCGUGGAUCGGUAGGAGGGAAAGAACUUCGCGCGCACCCCAGAGUUCGAACCUUAAGGGUUUUGCCGGAACCUGAGAUCCGACAAACUCAACUCGCAGUGGAUCAUCAUCAAAGCUGAUAUACACUUCUGUGAUGCUAUUGAACACAAUGGCAUCAUCUACGCGAUCGACAAAGCAGAUGGCACCACAUAUUGCUGGGGCGGCGCGUGUAAGUUGUUUCAUUCUCAUGUUAAUGAUGACGCCAUGACACUGUUUGAACUUUUUGUGAUGAUUGGCAUAUCCCUGUUUGAGCAGAAUUUGAGUAGAACUAUGGCAAUGUAUUAGAGACGCCGUAAAUCAGCUAUAUUUGGAAUGAGUUAAUUCAUGCGAUUGUGAUCAUGUCAUUAGAGCCAAUUUGUACUCCUGAAUAAUCAAACGGUUAGGAAUAUAUGGAUAUUCUCCUUAUUUUACAGUAAUCUAUAUACUACUACUAAAUAUGAGUGUGUAUCAAUGGCCAUGUUAGUUUCCUCAUUUUCAUGAUGUAGAAAUAUGCACCACACUGUUGGUUUCAUCUAACCAUACAUUAGGGAAGUAAAUGUGCAUAUGGAGAACUCUAUAUUUGGAAGUAGUGAAAUCCUGUAAUGCUUACCAUGUGUACAUACCUAUAUUCGCCCUUCAGCAAUCAAUGGCUAGAAUAAUAUCCUCACAAAAUUUUUGCCCACAGAACACGAGUAUAUAACAAUGCAUGGUCUGUUAGUUACCUUGAAGAAUUUGUUUGUGAGGACAGAACAUGAUUACAUAACAUGCAUGACAUGGUAGUUUCUUGUGAAGAAGAUAACAUGAGUAUAACCAUGCAUGGCACUUUUAUAUUUUUGAACCCAGUAUACAUUUCCCUGUAUUUUCCUCCCAGUUCCAACAGGGACAUAUCAAUGCUGUUUCUUGCAUUAUCCUACUCAUACUCUGAACAAUGUUGAUCUUACAUUAACAAUGCCUGUCCUUUUUGAUAUGAUGCAGUGUCCUUACAGUUACUGCCCUUUGUAAUCACACCACCUUUGCCAAAAACAGGGAAGCACAACUAGUUCCUCGCUCGAUCAGACGACGGCAAAAGACUGAUGAUCAUUCGGACACAUGAGCCGGAAAAGUUAUAUUGCAAAAACCCUAAUGUAUACAAGCACCGUGAAAUACGUGAGUAUCCGAACAGUGGCUGUUACGUCUACGAGCAGGAUACCAGCUUGUUGGGGCCUUCAGGAUUUUUUAGUUGGAGGCGGGUAAACAGCCUUGGUUCACACUCUCUGUUUCUCGGACUCAAAUAUCCGAGUAACCAGGAGAUCACCGUUGGCAAGGACCUUGAUGGCAGAGAGGCUCUGUUUGCUAUGGAAAAUUGUGUCUACACGGCGAGCCCUAGGAGUUCGGGAGCAAACUCCCCUGAUUGUCAACGAUACAGCCUGCAGCCAAAAGAAGGUGAGAAUGACAAAGGCAUCCAGAUUAACUUUGAUCCUUGGAUGUCUCAAUUACGACAGGCAGUGAUAUGGUUCAAGCCUUCAGGUUGAUAGGUAAUUGGGUUGUUGCGUCGAAAGGGUGGAGUACUGGUGUCUUCGGAUCAUUGGUCGCUGAAGCGGGGGUGCAAAUUAUGAUGGUGUUGGAUCAUCUCUUCGAAUGACUUUGUUGUCUUUGCUGCUUGUUCUGGAUGGGUAGUUCUUUCUUUUGUUAUGCAUAUUCCUUGUCAUUUGGUCAUCCUCGUCUAUGUCACUCUUACUAUGUAAUAGUUGCCUCUGUUUAGAAUGUCAUUCUCGUCUGGAUCACGAGAUUCUGAGCGCUGCAGAUGGGUGCGUUUUGGUGGUGUAGCAAGACUUCUUAUGAACUAUCAUAUCUUGCUGUUUAUGUCAGUAGUAGUCACUAGUCAGUGUUUGAAUGUUGUAUAUAUCGUUGUUUCGAACUGUUUAUUGUCUCGAACUACUGGUGGGCUAAAUGAGGGCAUCACCAUUCUCAAGUGUUUAGAGUGUAUCUCCUUUUUUCAAGUUAUAUAAUUUGAGCUCAGUGUCUUUUCGAUGAUGUACACUUGUUUGGGCCAGUGAGGUGUCAUUGAAUAUGGGCCGAGUAGUAACGCAAUGCCAAACAGGUUAAUUAUGAUUCUCAGGCCAGGCUCUCAAAAGAUCCUAAAAAAAGGCCGGGCUCUCCAAAAAAGAAAGAAUAAGGACUCUUAGGCCGACAUGUGGGCGCCACUGGUGUUUUCGUGUGCUUGCGCGCCGAGAGCAUAUUGGCACGUGUUCGAAAUUCAAGCUACCUUUUCAUCCCCAAUCUCCCGCCCCUCCCCCACCUCUGGAAUCUCGAUUCCUACUCCAGUUCCCCCAAAUCCCCCUCCUGUACUCCCUGUACUCAAGCUCACUAUCAUGUCGCCGGUCAACGCAGAUCUCAGAGCCGGAGAUCCUGAGGUUCGUCCUGCCUUCGGUCGCCGCGUGCUGUCGCUCAACAGUGGCAUGGCGGCGCUUGAUGACCAGUUUGCCGACAAAGUGCUGAUGGUAACCAUCAACGGCGACCAGCCUCCCGUCUCGCCGGACGACCUUGUCAAAGCUCUUGGCAUUGCGCACGGCAUCCAAAUAACUGACUUGCUCGUCGAAGUCUGUCCGCCACCGGCUGAUUUCUUCGUCAGGUUUCGAACAACUUUCGGCUGCAGUCGUGUGUUCGAAUCUUCCUGGCGUUUGUUCUGCGAUGGCGUGCUGGUGAGCUUUGAUCGGUGGCACCCAGGAUGGGGCUCGGUGCCCUUUGAGCUUGAGUUUUUAACAAAGCUUACCUUCCACGACAUGCCUCGACGUGCUUGGAACAGUGAGUCCAUGAAUGAGCUUAUCAACGACCUUGGAGGUGAGCUUGUAAGUAUGUUUGUUCCUCCAGAUAGCUGGGCUCUAACGGUUAUGGCAUGGAUGAAGAAGCCGUCCACCAUACCGAAGGUGAUUGGUGUUGAGAUACCAGUGUAGGAACCGGGGUUGUACUAUUCAUCGCCACCAAGGCCGGCGCGGACCACGUUAGGGAUGUACCUGUAUUGAGUGUUCGUGCAUAUCGAAGAAGUGGUCAAUCCAUCAAUCAAAGUCCUGCCGCCGCCGCUGGUGCUCGGGUCCAUCGACGACGUCCAUUACAGGAGUCAACGUCAGACUUUCCCCGUGUUGCUCGGAACGAUGGAUGGCACAGGGCCUACUCCAUCGUGCGGCGGAGGCCACCGCUUCUUUGGGAGAAGAGGCAGGGCUGGCUGCAUGGAUGUGCUCUAAUUUGAGGUAACAACUGAAUCUUGUCAGAUACUAGUUAAAUCCGAGCUAUGGGUGUGAAGCACUGAUGUGCCAGUACAUUUGAUUGUGACAUGUUCUAAUUUUGUACCUGAACUGUUUUUAGAAAGGGAUGUACGUCAACUUAAUGUGCUAGCAGAACUUAUUGUGUUGUCUGUCUGUUUUCUUGGCACAACAUUCAAGAUAUUUCUCUGUCAUUGAUAAAGAUGAUGAACCGUUAUGUAAGAGUUCGUUGGUUUCAACAUAGCCCUACCCGUAGCGAUCCACUGCAUCCAUCCUGAUUGUGCCGCCUGCGUGAAAUUUUGGUAUGCAAGUUCAGUGUGCUAUGAUGUUCUAUAUGAUUGUGUCAACUAUAUAAGUUUUUACUGAGCAUGAGCAAUGCAUAUGGCUUAAAGAUGUAUUUACGAGCAUCGACCGAUGGGUCUCUCUCUCUCUCACACACACACGCACAAGUGGGACCCGUUGAAUUAUUUCUUUUCUCGUGACAACUUUUAAUUAGGUUCCACUGUAAUCUAACUUUUUUCUUAAGUUAUUAAUUGAGCUCGGUGACUUCAAAAGGUUGUACAGAAGCCUUGUUUGGGCCUUUCCGGCGUCGCUGAAUGUGGGCUGAGUAGCCAUGUUAGGUUGUACUGUACUACACAGGACUUUCUUUUCAACAUCAGCAAUGCAACCGGGCCGACAGUUGUACACAAUAUCCGGGUCAACUUGUUAUUCUCCGCCCCGCUAGGCUGCAAACUUUCCUAGGACGUAUGCAUUAGGCUUAACAAGAAAAUGGACUUUAAGAAAUAUAAAUGGGAUGUAAUUAUAAUAACUGGGCAGUAACUAUAAAAAAAUGCACGAAACGCGUAAUUAGUUUAAAAAAUAUAUUAUUUUUGGAAUUUGAAAAUUUUAAUUUCAUUACUUGUUGCGCGCGCAAUAUUCCGUUGGAUUUUAACGUAAUACAACUUUAUUUUGAAAUUAUAUUUAAUCUUACUAGAAAUUUCGGAAAAAUAUUUCGGAUCCCAUAAAAAUGUGGGAAUUUUUUUUGAAUUCUGUUUUGAGCGGUUGGUUGAAAUUAUUAAUCGUUGUCCUAGCUAGAAAAUGGGAUGUACUUUUAACAAACUGUAAAUGGGCUGUAGUAAAUUCCAUUAGAAUUAAAAAAUGGGCUGUACAUUCUUACAAAUCGCAAAUGGGCUAUAUGUUCUCUGCCACACACUUGUGGGCCUUCUAAGUUGACGCGUCCCCUAAAAAACUAAGUUGACGCGUAUGCAAGGCUUUGUCAACAACACACAGUUCUGGCAGCUGUGGCCGUCAGAUGUCCAUCCAACGGAUGUCGUGCUUCUUCUUCAACCUCGGAUAUUCUUGCAUCAGCAGCCCAAAAAAUGAUUCCUCCCCCUGACAUCUAGGGCGCACCGUUUCGGAGGCUGACCUGUGGGCCUACUAAGUUGACGCGUACCAAGGGCUUUGUCAACUUAGUCAAUAUAAACGAUUCUAGCUGCAUGACCGUACGAUGUCCAUCCAACGGCCGUAGUGCUUCUUCAACCUCUUGUCUUCUUGCUCCAGCCGCCCAAAGCAGCGCCGGUCGUGCCGCGUGCUCCUGCCUCCUGUGGCCGGCUGUGAUGCCGCAGAGGCCUCGCCGCCCCCUACUACUCCCACCGCUGGCUAGGCCAUCCCUCUACUCACCCAUACCCCCUGUUAUUCUACGGUGACGGCAGCCUCACACCGCAGCCGAACCAGUGAACCGUCGUACUCCUCUCCGCGCGGGCUUCCACUGCCGCGUCUUCCCCGGCUCCGCGUCGUCCCCUUCCUAGGCAUCGCCGUCGUCCACCGCUCUGGUGCUCUCGGCGCAGCAUGGUCAACGUGGUCAAGGAACGGCUUCCAUCGGACGUGGACUGUACGUGGAGAGGCUGACAGCUGGGUCCACGGCCGCAGCAAGGAAGUGCCUCCUUAUUACGCGGAAAAUAAUGAUUCCUCCACCUGACAGCAGGGACCCAUCGAACGGGCCACCGUAUUUCGCAAAAAAAAACGUUUCCCCCUGACUGCUGGGACCCACCGGACGGGCCACUGUAUUUCGCGAAAAAAUGUUCCCCCCACUGUCAGCUCGGACCCACCGAAAGUGCCUCCUUAUUAUGCACAAAAAAUGAAUACUCCCCCUGCUAGUUGGGACCCACCUUGGUGGGAGGCUGACUUGUGGGCCUACUAAGUUGACGGGGACGGAGUGCUUUGUCAACUUAGUCAAUAUGAACGAUUCUAGCUCCAGUGACCGUACGAUGUCCAUCCAACGGCCGUAGUGCUUCUUCAACCUCUGGUCUUCUUGCUCCAGCCGCCCAAAGCAGCGCCGGUCGUGCCGCAUGCUCCUGCCUCCCGUGGCCGGCUGUGCUGCCGCGGAGGCCACACCGCCCCCUACUAUUCCCACCGCUGGCCAGGCCAUCCCUCUACUCACCCACACCCCCUGUUAUUCUGCGGCGACGACAGCCUCACACCACAGCGAACCAGUGAACCCUAGUACUCCUCUACACGUGGGCAUCCACUGCCACGUCUUCCCCUGCCCCGCGUCGUCCCCUUCCUAGGCCUCGCCGUCGUCCACCGCCCUGGUGCUCUCGGCGCGGCGUGGUCAACGUGGUCAAGGAACGGCUUCCAUCGGACGUGGACUGUACGUGGAGAGGCUGAUAGCUGCGUCCACGACCGCAGCAAGGAAGUGUCUCCUUAUUACGCGCAAAAUAAUUAUUCCUCCACCUGACAGCGGGGACCCACCGGACGGGCCACCGUAUUUCGCAAAAAAAACAUAUCCCCCUGACUGCUGGGACCCACCAGCAACAUCUUUGCAUGCAAGGAAAUGCGUCCGGGCAAAAAAAAAACGAUUCGCCCCCUGACUGCUAGGACCCACCAGCUACAUCUUCGCACGCAAGGAAGUGCCUGACAGUCGGGACCCACCUGGUCGAAGCGUACGUAGCGUUGUCAUUCUGGUCGCGAACGUGUACGUACAUACUGGUCAAUGUAGAGGCGCGCACGUGUCAUAGUAGAGGCGCGCACGUAGCAUGUACACGUACGUACAACGGCCAGGGUGUAAGAAAGUAAAUACGGCCACGUACGUACAUACGGGCGGGGUCUCAAACGCCUACUCGCGCGUACGUACGGCCAGGGCUCGUGUACAUGGCUGGGUCGGAACGGAGGAACAGCGUCGUCGUCGUGUUCAUGGGGAGCCAACCGGCUGGGUCGGAACGGAAUGCGUGGUCGUGUUCAUCGGGAGGGCUUGGACGGAACAGCCGAUGGAAACGAGGCCUGGCAUACCGCAGAACGGAGGAGAUGGCCUUGUGUUCGACCGACCACGUUCAAAACGGGAUCCUGUUCAUCGGGAGGGGUCUGGCGUACCGCAAAACGGAGGAAACGGACCUCCUACGGUCGAAACGGGGGUCCUGUUGAUCGGGAGGGGUGUGGCGUACCGCAAAACGGAGGAAACAGACUUGUGUUGGAGCGCUACGGUCGAAACGGGGGUCCUGUUCAUCGGGAGGGGUGUGGCGUACCGCAAAACGGGACUCCACGGGAUACUGUUCAUCUCCACUGUCGACCCCCUCCAGCCUCCACGGGCUACUGUUCAUCCACCGUCGACCUCCUCUAGCCUCCACCUGCGACUGUUCAUCCACGGGCUCCUGUUCAUCCAGCCUCCACCGCGCGCUACUCCACCGACUACUGUUCAACCAGCCCUCUCCACGGGCUCCUGUUCAACCACCCCUCCACGGGCUACUGUUCAUCCAGCCCUCCACCGUCUACUGUUCAUCCAGCCCUCCACGGGGUGGUCCUCUUCAUCCAGACCUCCAUGGGGUCCUGUUCAUCCAGCCCCAACCGGCUCGAUCGAUCGGGGUCCUGUUCAUCUAGAGGCACACCACGGGGUCCUGUUCAUCCACCCCCACCGGGAACUGUUCAUGCAAACCCCCCCCAGCAACGCUCACUGUUCAUCCAGAGGCAGCAUCGAUCGGCUUCAGUUAGCAGCAGUAGCGAAGGAAUCGCUCGUUUGGGUUCAGUUAACAGCCAUCGAUCGAUCGCUCGGGUUCAGUAACACGUAGCCUGCAAUGCAAUCGCUCGGGUUUAGUUAGAGCCCAAAGCCUCGCACCCACGCGCGUGCGUGUACGAGAGAAACGUGCAUCGCUCGGCCCCAACCACCCACCGUAACCGGGAACACCCCGAUAUUUUCCUCGCCCUCGCUUCUACCACGGUUUUUCCAUCAUGGACGGCCCAAAGAAUGUCAUGCAGCUGCAUCUCCGGCCCACCCAGGACGAAAAGCCCAUUUUCUGUCAUGAUUUUUUGUCAUAGAAGUAGGACCCCACCACAUCUGUGAUGAUACCAUGUUUUGUCACAAUUAUUGUCAUAGAAGUGUCAUAAGUAUGACAGAAAAAAAUUCGUUCGGCCCAAAAUGUCACGGAUGUGUCUUUUUUUUGUAGUGGUGGCUCCGUAUAUGGACGAACACAAGAAUUUUCUACGCUUCAAACACCCGGAGCAGUCUGACGACUGGAUUACACAUGAACAAACGGGGACUUUCACCGGCUGGUUGCAGACAUGUGCCAUGCAUGACGCCGCUAUUGAAGAUGACCUGUACUUGCUGUCCCAGGUACCAUCUUCGAAUAUAAUGACUUUCAAAGGGUACGAGAUAAAGGGGAAUACAUUUUACACGAUCACCCAAGAUAAGAAGAGCACCAACCAAAACAGUGGUGUCCGCUUUGAUGCAGCAACCAAGAUGGGAAAGGAAAUAUAUUAUGGUUACAUAGAGGAAAAUAUGGGAACUUGACUAUGGACGUGGUUUGAAGGUCCCUUUGUUUCGGUGCAAAUGGGUCAAUAUGACACUAGGCGGGGUAACAGAAGACCCACAGUAUGGAAUGACAACAGUGGAUCUCAACAAUCUUGCGUAUGCAGACGCACCAUUCGUCCUAGCCAAUGAUGUGGCAUAGGUUUUCUAUGUGAAUGACAUGUCUACCAAGCCUAGAAAAAGAAAACAUAAGGAAGCGAAUGCAUCAUACGAUGUGCCAAAGUGCCACAUAGUUCUUUCUAGGAAAAGAAACAUCGUGGGAGUGGAUGACAAGACAGACAUGUCAGAAGAUUAUGAAAAGUUUGAUGAAAUUGCUCCAUUCACAGUGAAUAUUGACCCGAGCAUCCAGUUAAAUGAUGAAGAUUGUCCAUGGUUAUGGUGCAAAGGGACACACGCGAAGAAAAAGUUUCACACCCAAAGAUCUGGGAUGUGAUCAGCUUCACUGUCAUCACUUUCUUCUAUGUUUCACACCCAGGAGGGAAUCUUUGUAAUAGUUAGGGUACUUAUGUGUUUUGUCAUUUGAAACGCGAAGAAAUUUUAUGUGCAAACAAAUUCUUUCAUGCAUUUACUGAUUUUUUUCAGCUAAAUGACCCUGAAAUUGAAAAACACUUCAAAUGAACUCCGAAAAGGUUGAAAGUUGGCAUGGUAUAAUAAUUUCACCCACAUAGCAUGUGCAAAAAAUUAGAGAGGGUUACGGCAAAAACUGGAUGAACUUCGUGUACAAAAUGGACAAUCUCUUUCGAAGGAUCAGGGUUUCCGACGAAAACUCAUCUGUUACAAAGGCAUUUCAUUUUUUAAAUAACCUAAGUAUUACCAAAUUGAAUAUAAUGAUAAAACACACUAAUAUUAAACAUAGGAAAAAAGAAUCAAGGAAAAAUCUAUUUUUAAAAUUAUGUUAUUCACAAACUAGUGAUUCACACAAAUUUGAAAUAAUUCAAAAUUUAAACUAUUCAAAUUUGAAAACUACCGGCACUAACAAAAAGUUUGUAAUUUUUUGCACCUAAAGAAAAAAUAUUCACAAAGAAAAUCUAAAUACAGCAAAACACAACUCAGAAAUAAAUAAAGCAGAAAAGAAAAAAACUAAAUGAAAAAAAGCCCGCCUACUGGGCCACAGCGGCCUGCAUACGACUAGAAACCCAACCACUAGUUGGGCCAGGAUGCAGGCCCGCCAGCCCAGCAGGCCCAACAGGGCAUCGCAGCAGAGGUAGGCCAAGAAGGCCUGCUUUAGAGAGGAGCUGGAGACAACAGCGACGGCGGGGCUUAUAAGCAGGUGCGAGCGCCCCUCGGAUUGCGAGGUGGGACUAAACUUCUGGGCCCCUCGCCUGGCAGCGCUCCACCUUUAGUACCGGGUCGUGGCUCCAACCGGUACUAAAGGGGGGGGUCUUUAGUACCGGUUGGAGCCACCACCCGGUACUAAAGGUGUGCCCUUCCCGCCGCUCCGCCUGGCCAAAACAGGCCUUUAGUACUGGUUGGUGGCUGCAACCGGUACUAAAGGUCAAUCCUAUAUAUACAACACUUCGAAAAAUUUCAGUUUCUCAUCUCCCACUUCUCCUCUCUGCUUCGACAUCACCGCCGCCCCAUCCCGCACCGUCGCCGUCCCCGCCGCGCGUCAUCGUCGUCGUUGUCCCCAUCGCCGCCGCCCCCGUCCCCGUUGACGCCCCGGCCCGUCGUCGCCGUCCCCGUCGUCGUCGUCUUGCCGCCGCCCCGUCACCGUUGCCUCCCCUAUCGCCGCCCCCAUCGGCUCUCCGCGCCCUGGCCCGUCGCCCCGCUGUAAGAACCCCAGCCGCCAUGCAUAUGGCCGGCCGCCCCCAAGCCCGGCCACACGCGCGCGCACACACACACACACUUAGAUGUGUUUUUUCUAUUUUUAGUUUUUAUUUUAAGUUUUUAGUUUUUUCUGUUUUCUGUUUUUAUAUAUAAAGGUUUUAUAGAUGAAUUAAUUAAUUAGAUUAGAUUAAUGUCAAAUGUCAAAUGUCAAUAAAGGUUUUAGAUGAAUUAAUUAAUUAGAUUAUUGUCAAAUGUUAGAUGAAAUUAGCUAGAUAUAUUAAUGUUAGAUGAAUUAUUAUUUUAUACUUUUAGUUCGAUGAAUUAGAUAUAUUAAUUAAUGUUAGAUGAAUUAGCUAGCUAGAUAUAUAUAUAAGAAAUCAUUUAAAAAAUGUUACGUUUGCAUAUAAUAUUUGUUCUCGACAAUGCCCGGCCCGCAUCCUCGCCGUCGACCCGUUCGCGACGACGUCCUACUUCAGAGGACCCAUGUCCGGGACUGGGCUCCGCCGGGCUGGCACUGGGAGGUGCUACCUUCAGGGGCUUGCCGCUUGGUGAGGAACCCGGCCCCGGGUCCCGUCGUCGACCCUGAGCUCCUUUGGUGGCGUUCGCGUGGACCACGUUCGGUGCAGAGGAAGCCGGCCCCGCCGGAGGUGGUGCGUCGCCAAGUCAGGGAGGAGGACGAGCACGUUCGUCGCUACAUGGCUGCUAUGGACGUCAGGUUCUCCAAUACCUGGCAGGUUCUUUGGGGAGAUUAUCGGAGCUAUGAUCCUGUGAUGGUUCCUUCUCUUUGGAUGUCCACCGCCCGCGCCUCAGGAACCGCGAGUGGCCUAGAUUCUUCUGUUGUAUUCGAUCUUUAUUAGCUAGCUAGAUAGUGAUGUAUUCGGUAUAUAAUAUUCGAGAUGAUGUAUUCAAGAUUAUAUAUAUUAUUCGAGACGAUGUAUUCGAGAUUAUGUACUAUGAUUCAGUUUUUACUUAUUGAUUGCGUGCAUGCAUUGUAAUUUGAAUACUAAAUUGUUUUACAUUUCUUCUGGAUUAGUUAAAUAAAAGCUAUGGCGGACAAUACCGGCAGAGAGGGAGAAGAGGCCCUGUUCGAGAUCAUACGCUCCCCUCGUAGGCCAGAUGAUCAGAAUGAAUAAGAUGACGGCUCCCAAUAUCUGAACAAUACCGGAGGGGUGAUGAUAUGAUAUUCGAUCGCGACGACCGAAUUGUUGAAGUCAUGAACUAUGAUUAUGAUGACGCCGAAAAUGUUGAUCUUGAAAUAACAGAGACCGGCGAGGUAUAUUUAUAUAAGCAGGCAUCUGGUGAUCAUCACAUGUUUUUAAUGAUUUGAAGAUAUAUUAACGAAUCGAUCUUUCUUCUUUCAGCCCUCCGGAUCGAGCAAAUCUUCUAAACGCAGUAGGACAGUGCGAGGCCCGGGCAAAAAGUUGAAGGAGGGCGUAAAGUACAACAUCAAUGCCAUCAGAACUGAUGUCGAACCACUAGCGCCUAAGAACAUUGCGAACAAGUUCGUUCGUCAGUGCAGAGUUCUUGUGAAGGACCAACUCCUGAUCUCCCUUCAAGAAUGGAAAGAGCCAGCAAAGAAACGUCUAGAUCUUACUUUUGUCGACGACAGAGCAAAAUCUCUGCUUUGGGAAACAUUUCACCCUACCAGAUCAUUUCACAGAUGCAGAUGUGCAGAAAGUCAAGGACGCUGCUCUUAGGAAGAUGGCAGUUGCAUUCAACAACCAUAAGAAAACUGUAUGGGCCAACUACGUCAAAGGAGGAAAGAAGACUCAAGAAUUCAAGGGAACACUGGAGAAGCAAAGAGAACACUGGCCCGCUUUUGUGAAAUUCAAGGAAUCAAAAUUAUCUAAGGAACGGUCAAGAAAAAACAAGGCCAAUGCCGCAAGAAAGGAGCCGUUCCAUAGGCUGGGGCCAGGUGGCUACGCGGUGGCAAUGCCUAAGUGGGAUAAGUCUGAGCAAGAGAUGCUGGAUGCAGAGGUCACUCUAGUUACUAAGAGCUGGCCCCCCCAGGUGCAGAACUUGGUUCUAUGCGCAUGGGGGGCGUUGGAUCCGAAGACAGACCAGGUUUCGAAGAAGGCAUGUCUUAAAGGAGCCGAUGAUAAGUUACUUGAUGCAAUAGAAGAUGCUCGAAAGGGGGUGUUCACGCCCAACAGAGAGAACGACGAGCUUACGUGUGCCCUGGGAAAUCCUGAACACCCGGAAAGAACACGAGGCAAGGGCGUUGUUCCGUGGUAUGAGGGCUUUUCGGACUGGAACGCCGACUACAGAAGCCGUGCGAUAAGGAAGAAGCUGGAGGAGGAGCAGAGGAAGUAGGAAGAAGAACGCCUUCAAGGCCUAGAAUCAGCGCACGCGGACUUGGGACUCAAAUUCCAGCGGCAGCAGCAGCAGAUCGACUCACUUAGCCAGGAAAGGGGGUCUUAGCAGCGGCGGCAGCUAGCGGAUGAUCCAACAUUGGAUAGCACGGUCCCAUCCAUGCCGAGAAGCAGCGUGGGUUCCGCCCCGGGCGACGCACUGCUGGAUAGAUACCCUGUGGAUGACAUCAUGGAGAACACUAACUAUGAGCUACACUUCAAAGUGAAGAACAUAUCCAUGAAGGUGGCAGACGCCAUUGCUUAUACAAAUCCCCCCGAAGCAACCUUCCAUUGCAACCCGAUUCCAGCCGGCUAUGCUCGUGCCGUGGUUGAUGAGGUGGUGGACCAAUAUUCGGGGCUAGAGCUUGACAUUCCUGGAGGUGACGAGGAGCACACACUGGGAGAGGCCAUACAUUGUAUCAUCCUAUGGAGAAAGGAUUGCGUCAUCUUUCGAAGGCCACCGACACCGCGUCAGCCGACUCCUCCUCGAAGUCCGCCACUGCGUCAGCAGACUCCCGCUCCUCCAAGUCCACCAACGCAUCAGGCCACUCCUCCUCCUCCAAGUCCGGCACAGCGUCAGGCCACUCCUCCUGCUUCAAGUCCAGCACAGCGUUAGGCCACUCCUUCUGCUUCAAGUCCGACACCGCGUCUGGCCACUCCUCCUGCUCCAACUCAGCCACGUCAGCCAUCUCCGCCGCCUCAGCAAUCGCGGAAGAGAGCCGCCGCAGCUAUGGUGCGUAGCGGUACAAGUCGAGGUAGUACAGGAGGUACAUGUGGAGGCAAGCGAUUUCAAUAUGUUCCAAGCCUCGGUCCUAUUCCUCAGAGGCCUUACGACACGACCGACAAGCAAAACACAGCCAUAGUGAAGGCCCAAGUGGACGCCCAUUUUGGACCGAAACCCGUACCGCCGCCAAAGGAGAAAGUGCCUGAGAAAGUCGUUGACCACUUUAUUCAUAUGGCAAAAAAACGAGUUCCCAAGCCUGUUGACUCAGACUAUGAGCGCCAAAUUAGGAAGGCACAUCGAGCACGACUACAGAAGGAGUCGAGCUCGAGCUCGAGCCAAGCAGUUGGCAGAAAAUGCGGGAAAACCGUUCCCCAGCUGGGAGAACAGGCGGCGCAAUCGAUCCCCCCGCUUGUUGUACCAACACAUGAGAGUACCGGUGCCAGUCAGCUGGUAAUAACCGGCGAGCAUAGAAGGCAUGCUAAAAUGCUCGGUAUCACUGUUGGACAACUCCUCAAGAUCGAGCCCAUGUCUCCGCUUAGAGAGGAGGACAUAAAACGGAAAUAUAUCUGCGGCGAACCUUUGGUCAAGCCUGAGGAGGUCGAGAACCUCCCAACGAGAAUGUAUGAAUUGCAUCAAUGGUACAUGGAAAUUUGCAAGGCCCACAAUCGAGAGUCCCUCAUGGUGAAAGUCAAGGAAGAGGAUUACUUCCAUGAGACAUCUCUGACUAUUGAGUAUACAGAACUGUUUCAGUUAUUCAAUUAUGACGCACUCGACAAAUCUAUCGUCAGUUGCUAUUGUGUGUAAGUGAUUUCUUUCUGUAAUUUAAGUCUCAGGCUAGCUGUAGUGCUCUCGUUGAUCAUUACCUGUAAUUAUCCUCACUAUAUUCUUUUCUGUGGUAUUAUGCAGGAUGAAGAUGUCCGAAAUGAGAAAAGCUAGACGCUAUGGCAUUGGGUUCAUUGACCCAAAUACCAUUAAUGGAGAGACAUGGUAAUAUGAAUAUUAUAAACAAGAACUAGAGAGAAACAUGCUAGAGUUCUUGAAGCGCCUCAAUACCAAUGCAGAUAUACUACUUCCUUACAACUUCGAGUGAGUCACACUGUCUUGUACUACAAAUUCUGUUUUUGCUUACUAGCUAGAUGUUAAUAAGUGUAUAGGGUUUAGGGUUAGUUGAUGAGUGUUAUGCACAUGCCCGCUUAAUUUAUACAUGCAAACGUAUGCGCAUGUAGGUACCACUGGAUCUUGUUAGACAUUCAAGUUGAAGAAGGAAAAGUUGAAGUACUGGACUCACUGCUUAAAAAACCUAAAGGGUACUCAAUCGUGAAGGGGAUAGUCAACAGGUAAUUUCAAUCAUUAUAUAUAUGUCCUGAUAUCAACUAAUUAAUAACUUCUUUAUUCAUUUUCUUUGCCGGCGGGCCGGCAGGGCUUGGCAAAAGUUCAUCAAAGACGUUCCAGGCCCGUUCAGAGAAAAUCUGUAUUGGUAUCGACCCACAGCAAUUAAUUAAGUAGUACUAGCUAGCUAGCUACCAAUCUCUUUAAUUCUAGUUUCAAUACCAUUGAUUAUCAUGCUUGAUUAACUAUUAUCUGAUUGAACUCUAUUCUCGUACAGGCCAUGAAGCAGGAGCCAGGGAAUGAUUUAUGUGCAUACUACGUUUGCGAGAACAUUCGCAUGAUGACGUCCGAAAGGAGCACAUCUGAUAGACAGCUAUGGGUACGUUUGACAGAACACUAUACACAAUUUUUACAUCAUUAUCGAUAUCUCAUCAUUAUCGAUAUCUAGUCACACAACUAAUACAUGCAUAUUGAUCUCCUUCUUAACAGUUCAAUGAGGUGCGGGAGAAGCUCCUACCAAUGGAUCGCGUAAGAGCAAUUGUAGAGGAAAUAGCGGGAUUUUUGCUCGACCAGGUCAUAGAUCCCACAGGAGAAUUCCAUUAAUUACCCGCUACCGCAGUAAUGCCUCCAUGUAGGAGAAAUUGUAUAUACCAAAUUGUAUAUAUAUACGUACAUGUGUAUGUGUGAAUGGUGGUGCGAGACAUUCGAUGAUAUAUAUAUGAUCGGUUCUACGAGAAAUUCUAUUUAUAUAUAUGCAUAGCGUGUACAAUAUGUAGUAUCGUAAAAUACCAGCAAACGAAAAAGAAUUAAAUGAAAAACACAAAAUUAAAGGAAAAAGAAACCCUGAACCCAAAACCCCCCAAACCUUUUAGAUACCGGUUGAUGUUUCCAACCUGUACUAAAGGGCUCCCCGCCCCCGGCGCAGGCUCGUGCCACGUGGUGGCCCUUUAGCGGCAGUUUGUGCAGAACCGGCACUAAAGGGUGGGGACUAAAACUAAAGGGGGGGACCUUUAGUCCCCACCCUUUAGUGCCGGUUACAGAACAGGCACUAAAGGCCCUUAGUGUUAGUAGUAGCGAGGUCAAAAAAACACGCUACUAGUAGGGAAUAGUAGUAGCGCGGGUACAGAAGACCACGCUACUACUAAGAGGUUUCCACCAUACCUCUUCAGACAGGAAGUAGUAGUAGCGUGGGGUGUAUAACCCGCGCUACUACCAAGUACUAGCAGUAGCCCGUGAUGUACACCCCGCGCUACUACUUUGGGUAGACCGGGUCAGCCGGUGGGCAAUCCUCCACCCCAUGCUACCACUAUCACACAAGUCUUCCCGUAUCCCCAUCCCACGCAAAAACAAUCCCCAUCCCGAUCCCACGCUGGUGCGGCGCCUCCAUCCCAAUCCCCAUCCCGAUCUCCUUCCCCACCUCCACCUCUAGACGACCCCGACGGCCAGAUCACGCCGGAGCCUGCGGUCCUCCUCCACCUUCAACUCCUCUCCUCUCCGGUUGCGCCGCCACCCUGUUCGUGGUCGAGCCGCGGCGAGCAGCAGAGGACCGCCGCUGGCUCGUCCACAACCAAUCGGCGAGCAGCAGAGCAGAGGACCCCAUAGCUGCCUACCGUGCCAAGCUCCCUCCCUCCUCGUGAACGAAGCCCUACCCCACGGCCAUGGCUAGGUUUGUGCAGUUUUUGCCCAUCUCAUCUGGUGAGUUCCCUUUCAUCCAAGAAGAAGCUCCUGCAGAUCCUUCUACCUCCGGUCUCCCUCUGACCUAAGUGUUUUUGGUUUUGUGGCCGACGUGUCCAGUGUGCAGGUCCCUUCUCUGAGAGGGUGCUGCUCACGCUGGAGGAGAAGGAGGUGCNNNNNNNNNNNNNNNNNNNNNNNNNNNNNNNNNNNNNNNNNNNNNNNNNNNNNNNNNNNNNNNNNNNNNNNNNNNNNNNNNNNNNNNNNNNNNNNNNNNNNNNNNNNNNNNNNNNNNNNNNNNNNNNNNNNNNNNNNNNNNNNNNNNNNNNNNNNNNNNNNNNNNNNNNNNNNNNNNNNNNNNNNNNNNNNNNNNNNNNNNNNNNNNNNNNNNNNNNNNNNNNNNNNNNNNNNNNNNNNNNNNNNNNNNNNNNNNNNNNNNNNNNNNNNNNNNNNNNNNNNNNNNNNNNNNNNNNNNNNNNNNNNAAAUACGCCCACUAGAAUUUCAGUUUCACGCCACUAAAAUUCCUUAAAUCGGCUGGUUCGCUUUGGGUGAAGUAGAGCAGCGUGGGACUAGGGAUUUUAUUGUGGUCGCCAUGGGCGAUGCCUGUGCGUGGCUUACAUGCCUACUGUGAUGUGACAGAUUUGGUUUAUCUAGUGCAGAAUGUGUGGCCGUGGAAUUGGGUGUACAUGGAUAAUGUUUUGGAACUAGUAGAAAUUCUAUGAAAAAGAGCUAGAAAUUCUCUUGGUUUUCUUCUGCACAAGGGGUUCAGUAUUUCGACCAAAAAAAGAUUCAGAAAUUCUCUUGAUUUUCUUCUGCACAAGGGGUUCAGUAUUUCGACAAAAAAAAGAUUCAGAAAUUCUCUUGGUUUGUUCUACACAAGGGUAAAUCAUUGUUUUGAGCCAAUUCUCCAGCGAUUUUGCUUGAAUCGUUACUAGUUGGUUUGUGUCGGGACUAAAAGUUGUUACCAUAAGGUAGUUCAAGAUUAAAUCCAGAGACAUAGUUAAAUAUCUCUCUGGCAAAUUUGGUAAAAAAAAUACUAGAAAACCUCUCGGUUCACUGCUGCACAGGGGGUUCAGCAUUUCGGUAAAAAAGAACUAGAAAUUCUCAUGGUUUACUUAUGCACAAGAGUUCAGUAUUUCGAUCUUGUUCCAUAGAAACAGAUUUACAGGAUGAGUUUUGAGUGUGAUAAAUGGACUACAUCUUGAAGGUGAUUUACCCAAUGCACUUGCACUAUCCAGGUAGAAGCUCCGAAGAAUUGGAGAUUUAGAACUAACUAACAAUAGCUAAUAGUGUGAUUAAAAUGCUUGAUUUGAGUUUUUUGGGCAAAUGUGACAAAAUGAAUUGCCAACUAUUGCAGCUUCUUGGGCAUUAAAGUAUUACAGACGUUAUUCUGCAACAGUGAGUGCAGCGCCGUACGUUAGCACCAGGACACGUCGCUAGAGGAUUUCCCGAUGAUGCAAAUUCAUCAUUUUGCAUUUGAUUGGCAUUGGAGAAAUCCAAAAGCUACCACAAAGCUUCUCUGCAUGCAUAAGUGAGCACUGUACCCGCUCUCUAACACAAACUUAUAUUUUGAAGUCUUAAAACAUGUCUAGGAAACUGUUCUGAGAUAUUGUAUUGUUAAAAAGAAUAAGAUACCUCACUUCAAUUGAAUCUAUAAGCUGUAAGAUAAAUUUGGUGAUAAUGUAUCGGUCUUCUAUUCCCUUCAUUUUGCUAGCUUAUGCGGGGCUUUAUCUAUGUACAUGUGCAUGUUGGGAUAGGUUGAUAUGCUAGGUUGCUUUUUGCUAGGUUGAUACUGGACAGUAUCCUGGCCUACUUUUUGCUAGGUUGCAAGCUCAAAGCCAUUAGACGUAAUCCCCAAUGGAACAUAUGGCCGAAGGGUUGCAUUUAACUAGGUUGUGACACUAGAUUAUCUUUUCUAAAUACUAGGUUGUGAGACUAGAUGUAUUGCCAACAUGAUUGGUGUCAUGCGAUACAAGGACACGUCAACUACCUAUUUACACUUGGUGCUAAAGGCAAUAGCUUAGCAAAAUAAGUUACUGUGUUGAUUAACGUUUGGUUUUUUCCCUCUUUUUCAUCUGAAUAGCAUUGCCGUAGAUAUCCAUUUUAGAUAACAUGUUUGAAAAUUUGAAAUUUUCCAAGUUACUAUAUAGUGACAAUGUAUUUUUUUGUUAAGAGGUUUUAAGGGUUAAUUCUUUUUCUGAAAGUUAUCCUUUUAUCUAAACUAAAUGGUUUUCGUCUGAGAUGAAACAAUGUGUUUACUGUACCAAGAAGGGGAUGUAUGCAUUGUUUCUAUAUCCAAAUUAGCCAAAUUGUAAUUUCUUAUAUGGAGGCUCUUUGCAAUACAUCUUGGGGCAGCGUGCAAAAUUUAUGCUGGACUCGUGAGUCGGUGCGGCAAAGCAUGCAUGUUGCUUCUAGUUUUAUUGUUAACCAUGCUAUUGUCCAAACUCCUUUUUAUUCUGCUCAUAUGAUAUUGCUUAUCUUUUGUUUUCUGUCCCGAUGCCUCAUGUAUUUACAGUAGAAAUGUUCUAAAUUUAGUGCUUCUUGAACAUGUCCAGGGCAAUGGAUAAAGUCUAGAUGCUAAGUUGACUUUUUUCCUGCAGAUUUGCUUAUCGUGAAGACGCUUGCAAGGAUGCAGCGGGAGCAGAUCAUUUGGAGAGAUAGGAUGCGACAAAUUGGUCUUUCUAUGCAUUUUGGUUUGCUUGUAACCGUGUUUGCAUUAGCUGGGAAUAAGUGACUUGGCAAGAACUGUAGGUGUCUGGAUAUGCUCUAAUGCUCCUGGUUUACUAUAAAUCUUGGAUUUGUAAUGAUGUGUAAUGCAUAAAAUGGAAUUUGGGGAUUUUAAUUUUUUUAAUUCGUAAUUAGUUAGUAGUAGCGUGGGGAAAAACCAUGC